CCCUGGCUCAGGAUGAACGCAGGCGGCGUGCUUAACACAUGCAAGUCGAACGAUGACCCCGGUGCUUGCACCGGUGAUUAGUGGCGAACGGGUGAGUAACACGUGAGUAACCUGCCCUUAACUCUGGGAUAAGCCUGGGAAACUGGGUCUAAUACCGGAUAUGACUCCUCAUCGCAUGGUGGGGGGUGGAAAGCUUUAUUGUGGUUUUGGAUGGACUCGCGGCCUAUCAGCUUGUUGGUGAGGUAAUGGCUCACCAAGGCGACGACGGGUAGCCGGCCUGAGAGGGUGACCGGCCACACUGGGACUGAGACACGGCCCAGACUCCUACGGGAGGCAGCAGUGGGGAAUAUUGCACAAUGGGCGCAAGCCUGAUGCAGCGACGCCGCGUGAGGGAUGACGGCCUUCGGGUUGUAAACCUCUUUCAGUAGGGAAGAAGCGAAAGUGACGGUACCUGCAGAAGAAGCGCCGGCUAACUA
rnacentral:rRNA from 1 species